rnacentral:rRNA from 1 species
AAUGUAAUGCCUAUAGUGUUAAUGCAUUGUAUCCCAUUAGAAUUAUGUAGUUAAGAUCACUUCGGAUAGAGUCGUAUUGGGAUGGGUGACCUCUCGAGAAGUCCUAGUUUUUUACAUGC